GAAAUGCGAUAACUAGUGUGAAUUGCAGAAUUCCGUGAAUCAUCGAGUCUUUGAACGCACAUUGCGCCCCCUGGUAUUCCGGGGGGCAUGCCUGUCCGAGCGUCAUUGCUGCCCAUCAAGCACGGCUUGUGUGUUUGGUCGUCGUCCCCUCUCCGGGGGGGACGGGCCCCAAAGGCAGCGGCGGCACCGCGUCCGAUCCUCGAGCGUAUGGGGCUUUGUCACCCGCUCUGUAGGCCCGGCCGGCGCUUGCCGAACGCAAAUCAAUCUUUUUCCAGGUUGACCUCGGAUCAGGUAGGGAUACCCGCUGAACUUAAGC
rnacentral:misc_RNA from 1 species